rnacentral:misc_RNA from 1 species
AAGUCGUAACAAGGUUUCCGUAGGUGAACCUGCGGAAGGAUCAUUAACACGUAUCCAAACGUUAAACAACCCCGUGAACAUACAACCUGGUCGCCCGCUCGCAUGGACAAGCCCAGUAAAUCAAGCCCCGGGAUGAUUUGGGACCUCUGUGCGCGUGAGAAAAACUGUAGGUCAAGUGACACGGCGUCCCCAAGUGACCAGUGAAUGAAAGUGUCGCUGGAGCGUCAAGGACGACUCUUCAAGAUUGCUAGAGGUCGACCACCGACCGUAUACUGAGCUUAACAUCGCUCCCUUCCGAACCCCACUUUAUUGCCUUGCCUGUAAGCAUCCAUACGGAUGGGCAGGCCCCCCGAACAACUGUUAACAAUGGAUAUCUUGGUUCUC